UACGGGGGGGGGUAAGCGUUGUUCGGAAUUACUGGGCGUAAAGGGCUCGUAGGCGGCCAACUAAGUCAGACGUGAAAUCCCUCAGCUUAACUGGGGAACUGCGUCUGAUACUGGAUGGCUUGGAUUCGGGGAGAGGAAUGCGGAAUUCCAGGUGUAGCGGUGAAAUGCGUAGAUAUCGUAAGGAAGACCAGUGGCGGAAGGGCGGGUCUCUGGACAGUUCCUGACGCUGAGGCACGAAGGUCAGGGGGAGCAAACGGG
rnacentral:rRNA from 1 species